rnacentral:lncRNA from 1 species
AUGCAGAUCUUCGUGAAGACCCUGACUGGCAAGACCAUCACCCUUGAAGUGGAGCCCAGUGACACCAUCGAAAAUGUGAAGGCCAAUAUCCAGGAUAAGGAAGGCAUCCUCCCCGACCAGCAGAGGCUCAUCUUUGCAGGCAUGCAGCUAGAAGAGGCUGUACUCUUUCUGACUACAACAUCCAGAAAGAGUUGACCCUGUACCUGGUCCAGCGUCUGAGAUGUGGCUGUU